rnacentral:lncRNA from 1 species
CGGGGGCGGGAGCGGGACACCGCGCUGCACCGAAUCAGCUGGAGCAUCACCCAGCCUUCUCUCCUGAUUUGGGAAGAGAUAAUGCAAGGGACCCUGAGGAAGGUGAAGAAGGAGGUGCAAAGAGGAGGUUGAAACAUUCGUCCAACAACAAUACUCUUCCAACAUUUAUCAUUGUCGCCUGUUCAUUAAGCACUGGAUAUGGAAUUACAGCUCUACCAAAGAAAGAACAUAUCUAGGCUCUUCCCAUCUAACAGAACACUCUUUCAUCCUGUUAUGUAAAUAGCCUCUUGGAAACCAUCCUAAGUCAGCAAGACUGAAGCAGCAUCUGAUAUAAUAAGUUAAUACUUCCAGCCUAAGAAUUCAGAGAAAAAAAAAAAUUAGAAGAAGAAAAAAGUGGCUUUCACAAGUAAUGGGAUCAAGCUGAUAGGUCCAGUGAUGGUGCAUUGUACUCAUGGAUAUAAUCAAAUACUGCAGAGGGUUGUAAGUCCAAUA